CACAGAUUUGCCAGGGCAAGUACUACUUACUUACCUUUUCCCUCGCUUGCUGCGCUCGCGCCAAUUGCGACCAACAGAUCGGAGGAUAAACAUCUCACCUUUCAAGCAGAUUUACACGACUAUUAUUCAAAUUACAUUAGUUUAUCAUAAUCACAAUAUUACUGAUCAUUUAAGAGCUGCGAUAAUGGAAUGAUUGUAGGUAAUAAUCAAGAGGAAUGUGAUUAGAGUAAUGUUAUUAUUACUGAUCUUGUAAAACCUCUUUGAAAUUGUUUAUUAUUUUUUUGGAAAUAAAAAUGUUACAUACGUAAA
rnacentral:lncRNA from 1 species